GCUUUCUGGUUGUUACAGGCUUACACGAAUGAGCUGGAGCUUGAGGUUCAGCAUUUGAUGGAAGAGAAUGCGAGGCUGAGAAGACAGCAAGAACAGUCAAGUAAUGCAGCAGCUUCUCAACUACCCAAAAAGCACUGUCUGAAUCGAUCAUCAACAGCACCAUUUUGAGAGAGCUCAGUGAAUUUGAAUUCCUCUUUUUCCCCGGCAAGGUCUCUCUCUCAGUUAGAGUAGUAUCUAAUGCGUUGUAGUAUUUUGUGGGUAAUUAAUUAGGGUAGUCUAGUAGUACUAAAAUCUUUCUCCGUGUAGAUCGAGGUUUUCUGGUAGCCAAGCUAGCUAGAAUAUGGCAAUGACUAUCAAUGGAGCGCCUAAUUCGCCUUAAUCGGCCAAGUUUAUACAAGUAAUGUUGCUUUUAAGAACAUAAUUUAGGGAUUUUAUGCACAUUAAUCGGCAGUAGUAUAUACGAUCUAUAUCACUUGCAAGCUUGUUCUGUCUCUUUCCCAACUUGCAGGAACUUAAUUUUGGUGGGUCUUGCGUGUUUGUUAUGUUUUCCUAUCUUUUCCUUCGCUUUCACAGACAUUAUAUGUUUGUUUCUCACUUCCCACUCAUUCUCUAAACCUCAAAAUUCUCUUCAAUAAAACUAUCUAAGCAAUCAUAGAAUGGCCAAUUUUUUAGACCAUAUCACUAGACAGGUAUUGUAGCAUAUAGCCAUCGUGCUCCAUUAACACUAGUCACUGACCAUAUGAUGGUAUUUUUUAGUGGUUGUUGGGUCACUCAUCACCUGGUUCACUAUGAGCCAAUGGGAGAGUUUACGUACAAGGAGAAAGCAUAAUAAUGUAUUUCACUAUGAGCCAUUGAGCCAAUGGGAGAGUUUACGUACAAGGAGAAAGCAUAAAAAUGUGGGGGGCUAAUUUGUAUGAAUCAGCAAGCAAGUGAUUAUGUUUGUGAUUGAAGUUUAAGCAAGUGGGUUUGAGGUUUGGACUUACUUGUAGUUUGAGUCGCGACAAGAAAAAAAAUUGCAUGGUUUUGAAGUUUCUAUCGUCUCCCAACUUUCACGAGGACAAGACACAUGACGGCCACGAGGCCAGGUUUCUGCUUAUUGGUUCACGAGGUUUUCAUGGUACCCAGAAAAGCAAGAAAGAAGUCUCUACUUUCUUUCCUCAACUAUUUUGACCGGGGUUUUAGAAUAAAAUAUCCACGAACAUUUUGGCUAUUAAGUUUUCUAAUGAUAUGAGAACAGACUUCGUUAGCAUCUGAGAUUAUCCGUGUUUCUGUUUAAUCCUCAUAUGAGUUUCGAACGCCUUUGACCUUAAUUUUUAAAGAAAAUUGCUUUAUUGGCUUAAAUUUAAAUUAGUUUGUGUACAGUGGAAAACUAUUUUAUUUUAUUUUUUUGUUAUAAAAAUGGUGGCUGGCACUUCCACUCCGAGGUCGAGAACAACUUGAUUAUGACCCCUCUUCAAGGGAUAUUUUUCACAAGCUGGGGUUCGAAUUAGAGACCCCCUAUUAUCAAGAGAAGUCUUGCAGCGUCCGCCUCAUUUGCAGCCUAGCAUGUUUUCACUAGACCAACCCUAUUGAUGAAUCAAAUCCCAAGACUUACUAAUGUUAUAUAUAUAUUUAUUUUGUUUUGUAAAAGAGUUAAAAUUUAAGUUAAUGCAGUUCUUAUAGACAGAUUAUA
rnacentral:lncRNA from 1 species